AUGCAGAGUGACAGGUGUGUGACGAGGAUGGGCUGUGACACCAGUCACGCUCCGGUGUCUGCCCUCAGAGCUAUCCUUUGCCUGCAGGGAGAAGCCUGGUGGAUGCAUUUAAGAUGCUUGUGCACAGUUUCUGAAAUAAGAGCAAAUAUCAUCUCUAAGUAUGACCUAAAAAAGGAAGUAAAAAAAAAAAGCCCCCGGAUAUGCAAUACAGAUGUCAACAUUCUCCCUUUCAGCAUUAGGAACUUGGAGCUUGAAUUGUCCAUUUUUAGCAGACUCUAUCUUCUUCAAAAGACCAUUGUACAGCAGAACUAAACGCCCUGCCUCAGGAAACAGCAUCAGAGACUCCAGAGUUCUCAAGCCACUUCAUGAAAUUCAGAGGUUGGGAAGAGAGACCUGCUGGUUUUCAGCCUGGCCUGAGGAAAAAGCUUCUUUCUGAGAGGACCAGAGGAGCAGCUCUGGAGCCAGGCAGACUGCUGGUGGAGAAGACCUCCUGCCUUCCCAGCUGGUGGCUAUUCUGGUGGACCCAGGGGACAUUUGACACGGAGGGACUGGAGCCACCUCCUUGAGAGGGAGCUUUCACCAAAGAGGUUUUUAGGUCUCACCUGGAGCUUCUUUCUUUUUGGGGACAGAGGCACCCUGCCAGUGAGGCUGAGCCACAGCAGGUCCAGGUGAUCUAAAGAGCACCAGGAGCAUUUCUGAAGACACGUUGUCAUUUGUUCCCAACUUCUUUCAUAGGUCUGAAUGUCACCACGUAUAUUCUCUUCAAUAGAAGAUCUCAUUAUAUCUUUUCUUCCCAUCUCUCCUCCCAUUUGCAAUUGCUCUUCUUGAUACCUUCUUUCCUUUCUAGUUAUGACUUUGGACAUGUCUUCUUCUGCCUUGCUUUCUCCACCUGCCCUCUUCUUGUUUCUCUCUGCCUGCACCAACUCCUGUUCUCUUUUCAUGCUUUUUCCUUGCUUUGGGAUUUCUCACCAGAAGCCACUGAUCAUGAGGAGAGGAUUUUUCCAGGCCUGGAUAAAUCAUAGUGGAAAAUAGCUUCAGUAUUCUAGCUCUGUUCGCACAGCUCUUAAAAUAGAAAGAAUGGACCCUUUGUAGGCUGCAGUUCAGAUAUUUGUCUGAUGCCAUGCUAGAAAGCCAUCUGACUCGUGAGCGCAGUCGGAUUUAGCUGCAGUGGUUAGAGAUGCCACCAUGCUGAACUGUCUGCCCUCCCCCUUGACCGGCGGUUAUUGUCCUUGUACCAGAAUAGAACAAAACAGAUGUCCUCAUCCUAACCUCCCCGUCCUCACCAUCCACAAAAUCAGCUUAGGGCACUGCUGAUGACAGGUUUGCUCUGAAAAUCUGCUCUGCAAAUUGAGGCAAAGACCUGCUUUUUUUUUUCUUUUUCUGCUGCAAGUGCUCUGACUCAGGUCUAGGGAUGCAGAGGGCACCUGGGCGUCUGCCAGUUUGAUUCCCCUGUGUGCAGUUGCCCACGCACUGAACAGGAGCAAAAUGUGGCUCAUCAGGACCUUUUUAUUUCUUCACCUCAGACGUGCACACUGAUGGGAGCAGCUCCCAGUGAAAUACAGGUGUGGGUUUCCCACAGCCACCUGCAGCUUGCUGUGCAGAUGGCGGGAUGGAAAUGUGUUUUAAAUAUGAUUUGGACUUUGGUGAUUGAAUUUCACGUUGCAUCCCCACGUGUACAGCACUGGAGGUGCAAGAAUGAAAUUGCAAGCUGUUGUUGGCAGCAUCUGCAGGCAGUGCCUACAGGAACCAGUUAUGGGGUGGCAUGAGCAGGUUCCCUGGCCCCAGACAGGGGCAGAUGAAGGAUGGGCUUCACAGCAGUGCUUCAAGCAGCUGCUGUGCAGGACAGGAGUCCUCCAUUCCCACCGCUGUGAGCCCAGCCACUUCCACCAGCGCUGAAUUCUCUCUGUACUCAGUCUGACACAGAUAAUUAAAAGAAAGAUAUUAAUUUGGGUCACAGGAAAUAAGUAAUGCCAAGCUAAUACUGGAUUCAAGCUGCAUAAGAAAUAAGACUUUGGUCUGAGUAUGAGCAUGCCAGACAAAAAAUUUUUGACUUGUUAGGGGACAGACAGCUGAAACCUCGAGCUCCUCCAUCCACCUCAUCUGUGAGCCCAGCUCAGUCUGACUGUCCUGCAGACACUCACAGGACUUACGGGGUUUAUUAGAAGCACAGGACGGGAACAAACCCAUGUCACCCCCACCUCUGGGCACCGGGCAGAGGAGCUGUUUCAUUGCCUGGAUCAGUCUGAUCCCUGUGGCUAUGGGGACGUGGUAGCUGGUGCCUUGUGCAGAGAGGAGGGGGUGAGGGUGCCCGCUGUAUUUCAGCUGCCUGCCUAGAGCCAUCUGGUGCUAAUGACUUCCCCAGACUACUGCUGCGGGUUGGGUUUGAAUUUCCUACCCAGAGGUGAAAGGCUCCUUCACUUAUUAGACUAUUAAUUGUCCAAACCACCAGUUUGGUUCUUAAGUGGCAAUUAAUGAGAAGCCAGAGCUGGAGCUUAUAACUGGGAGGAGCCCUACAAGAAAAGAUUAAUAAACAGCAGGGGAAAGGGCUCGGAGGGCGUGAG
rnacentral:lncRNA from 1 species